UAAAUUUCGUCCCACCUCCUUUGAUUUGUUUUCGUCCUGAAAAAACCUAUGAAAAAAAACCGACGGAAAAAAACCAGGAUUGGCACGCACGGGGCGAGACUGCCCUUGGGGGAGGCCUCGAGAUCCCUUCGCCCCCAGAUCCCUCCUCCCAUCGCCUGCCCUCCUCGCGAUCCUCCCGACGUCCUCGCGUCGCCGUCCUCUUCUUCUCUGCGACUCCUCUGUGCCCGACGCCCUGACCAACGCCGGCGAGUCCUCGGCACUCCGCAUGCGCCUCACAUCCAACGUCGGGGAGGAUCGCGUGACUCCGCCCGCAUCGUCGCCUCCGACGCCGGCCUCUCCUUCACCACCGCCCCUGCUGGCAGGGUCCCCCUCGUCAUGGGCCUUCCUCGCCUGGGUGUACGUCGCCAGCCGGCCAUAUGGCAGGACGCGCAGACCCGGGCGAUCCUCUCCGGCCUCCUUGAGAAGAGCUCGACUCCAGCCCGGCGACGACGAUGACCUGAUUCCUACCGGUGGACGAUGAUGUGCUCUGGCCCAACCGCCUUGACCUUAACAAGCCUCGUCAAGAUUCGUCACCGUGGGCUGCACCCCUCUCUUCCUUCACGACCAGGAGUUGUCAAGGAGAACCAUCAACUUGAUUGAUUGGUUGUCUACUCGAAAAGAAAAGAAGAUGAAGAGAGAGGGCGAGAAGAAGAGACGCCGUGUGGCUUGUAGUGGGUGAGAAUUAUCUAGCCGGCAAUGGAUUUCCAGCAAGGGCGGCAGAGAAAAAUCCAUGACGAGAUGAACACCACCACGACAGCAUCAUGAAUGUCAUCGAGGUACCUGUGUUUCCUCAGUCCUACCAGGAAAGUUUUCAGAUAGUUACUGCUAAGAACUUCUAUGCAGUUCUCUUGGGCAAUAAAACUGCAGUCACUGGAGGGAGCAAACCAAAUGACCAUAUAUAUUUAUCUACUACUCAGAUCACGGGGGUUCUGGCGUCCUUGGCAUGUGGAAGUUAUAUCCGCUGUUUUGUUGUAUUAAUUUGUUUUGUUCAUCUUGUGUAUUGACCUUUGCAAGUUUCAGGUAUGCCCAACCUGUCAUAUCUCUAUGUUGCGGAUUUUAUCAAGGUCUUACAAGAAAAACAUGCAUCCAACACCUACGCAAAAAUGACCUCAAUAUUUAUGUCACAACAGCAUCUAAUGCAGAAGAAAGCACCUGGGGUACAUACUGCCCAGGAAUGGAGCCAUCGCCUCCUUCUGAGUAUAUUACCUGCUUAGGUGAUCUCUACAGUAUUUCCUGGAUGGAAGACAGCCGUGUAGCAGCCGUAUGUGCACUGCUUGUGCUGGGCGCCGAUCUGGAGGCCCCUGAUCGGAAGGGAAGCCACUGGAGCUGUUGUGGGAGAUGGUGGCGGUACGCUGGUAGAGCUGGGAGCAGACAUGGAGGGGCCGGACCUGCUGGUCCUUGAAGGUGCUGAUAUACAUAGGUGCUUUUAGUAAAAAAUAAGUUAGGUAUGAUUCUCAGUUCUCACUACCUCCGCGUGAUGCAAUUGAAAUUUCGAAUCUUUAUUGUUAUUUACAAUUAAUUUUGCGGCUGAUUGGACAAUAUCAGUUACUAACUUAAUUCAAAUGGCUGACAAAUUGUCUGAGACAGUUUUAUAGUGUUUUACUUUAUUUCUAUAAUUGUUAUCCUAUAAAUUUAGUUUGUUUUCAAGGUUUGCCAUGUUUCUUUAAAAUUUAUCCGUUGAAUUUUUAUGUCUGCUCCACUGGGCUGCUGCUGCAAGCUUUCAUGUUUGGCUCUUGCACCAUUGUUUCAUAUUUGUAUGCUAUAUUUUCCUGUUCAGUCAUUUUGGUCUUUAUAUAUGGCUUGUGUUUGUGGGAAUCUUAUUCAAUCAAAGGUUAUAAGAUAUAUUACAUUGCCUUUGUUGUUUCUCAUAUAUAUCUUACAUAGAUCACUAUAUGAAAAACUUAACCCUUAUGAGGUCGCGGUUAUGUUACGUGUUGACUACAUAUAUAGUUUGUUCUACAAAUCAUGGCGUUGAACUUGCAAAGUCAGGUUGGAUGUAGCUCUGAUAUAAUUAUGUAUGAAGUGAUAUGAAGGUGCACUCAUGUCUUGCAAGACAUCCUGCUUCUGCGUCAGGCAAAUGUGCACAUCAUUGACACCAUUGAUGCACGAGCACUGAUAUUUUUUUCCAUCUUUGGAUGUUCCAUAGGAAGUUCAGAUUUUUAUUGACCAUUUUUGUACAUAACGAUGUAUUUUUUUCAUUGAUAAUUAGGUGAAUACAUUACAGUUUGAAAUGAUCUAUAUGGAGGUCACAUUGUUUUUUAGAGAAUUAGUCCCCUGGUGAAGUGGUGGGCAUUAUCAAUGCUGCUGCAUUUUAAGGUAGUGGUCAAAAUGCUAGCUAGGAUAAAUUGUAAGGAGCUGAUCAUAGUUUUCGGCUAUUACUGUAGAAAUUCAUGGCAUUAUCCUUGCUAUGACAGUGAUGUAUUUGCAUUGCUGCAUAAAUUCAUGGAGUGAUUCAUAUUUUCUUGACUCAUUUUACGUGUAUUGUUACUGCAACAACGACACAACUAUUCUUUCAUCUAUGGUGUUAAAAAUACCGAUUUGUGACAUAUAGAAGGGUAGGACUUUCAGUUUCUUAUUUGGAUUUUGCAACUUAACCAUGAAUGUGAAUGUGUAGGAAUAAUGCCAAAAUCACCUAACCGAAUUGCAAUAAGAUUUUUACGUUUAUUAUUUAAGUCAAACCUUACCACUAGGAGAUGAAAUGGUUGUUUUAGGUGUACAUGUACUAAAAAAAGGAAUGGCUUGCGUUCCAUGAUGGUACAUGCCGCAGUAUACUCAACGGAUGGCAGGUUCUUAUAUGCCAUAUGGAGAGGGAGAACCAGGUGCCUGAGGGACAUCGAGCUUUCCCAUGUCUUCUUCCUUCAAUUCAACGUUGUUAAGAUUUUGAAGAUUUUUGGCGACCUGAACUUGCGUGACAUGGACCUCUGCAACGGACUCUUGGCCUACAUCAACCAUUUUGUCGACCAAGUACCUGUAUUGGAGCAUGAUCCAAGGAUUGUAUCCUGACAUGACUAGGUAAAUAGCCGCGACCAAUGUUGGAGGAUGGGUCGUGGGAUGGAAGGAGGAAGACAUCGACGAGCACAUAAUUUUACCAUCAUAAAAAAACAGGUGUGUAGUUGCUCUCACGAUAUGUACUAAAUAUUUUGAUAAAAGGCGAUAUUUAUUCAAAGGACUUCACUCAUGUCAACUAAUCGUUAGUUUGAUUCACUUUCCUUUAUUUCGCCCAUAUCAACGAACGUGCAAUUAACUAGCAGCAAUAUCCGAAACAGCUAGAGUAUGAUGCGGCUCGACCUCAUCCGAGCAGGUAGGAUGAAUCCCUUCAAUCUUUCUUCUCUGUCUUGUAGGCAUUAUGUAAAAAUAUCAAGACUUUGCAAAAUCUACAUUUAGACUACCAUCAAUUUGUCCCACCGGCAAAUGUGCGUAUGCUGCCUUUUUAUUUGUCAUAAAACCUGUAUUUAACAUCUACUGAAAAAUAAUUAUUUUCCAAUUAGAAGAAAGCAAAUCCAACAAUGGUCGUUAGAAAUUAUUAGUACCCUACAAAAUCUGUAACACAUCAUAUUAAUUAGGAACUCAAAUCUUGGUUGCAAAAAUUAGAUCUGUGCUAUAAAUGCAGGCAAUACAAAAGGUAGGAAGCCCAUACGAAAGUUCCUUUUUUGUCCUCAUAAUGGGACAAUUUAACUAAGUUGCUCUCUGCUGGUUGUUUGAAGAGAAAAUAAAAUGGUCAGAGUGCAACCUACCACAUAAUAAAUUAAACUUUUCAGUUCCAUGUUAAUAGGAAAUCCUUAAAAUAUGCAGUAGUUUAGAUCAACCUGCAUUUUGCUCAAACCAUCUAAGUGAAUUUCUCAUAGUAUUACCUGCAUAUCUUCCGGUUUAUUCCAUUGCCAUGGAGCUUCUUGGAUUCCAGUGAAUUUGUAGAUGAAGAAAAGGAGGAUGCAUGAGCUUCAAAUCUGUUUGAAUUUAGUCAGAAGAUGGAGACUUGAAGUAGGAAUUAGUGGAGAAUGGGAAGGUGGAUAGUACAUGGGAACCAAUCAAAUACAUGUAGUCUGUUAGUGUUAUCUUCUUGGGAGUACUUGAGAAGGCGUGGCGGGGAAGGUGGGGACACGCCAUAGCAGAGGCCAGUGGCAAACCUACGUGUAAGCCGUGAGGUCCGGGGAAGGUAGCUUUAUUUGGCAACGCCAAUGAUCAAGUUAGGGAUGCACAAGUCAACCAUGAGAUGUUGGAGACUGAUGUGGAUGCGCAAGGGCAACGCUGGCCUCUGCCUAGAAGGGCAAUCACAGUGUACAGAGCUCUAGCAGCACUAUGCCAUCAUCCUCUGCCUCACCGGCCGCAUGAAUUUCAAGAGAUGGACAAUUACAGCAAGGAAGUAGGAGGAAGAAAAAAUGCAGGCGGCCUCAUGAAAGUCACAACAGCAAAGAUCCACAGUUUGUGAAGAUGCAGAAGUCAGAGGAGGAACCAUGAUUUUUGAACAAGCAUUAGUUUGUGGCUCAUGGAUGAAGAUUGCAAGUACUACUUUGUAACUAAUUUAGCUAAUCGCUCACCAAGUAGGUGAUUUAGCUAAUCGCUCAUCAAGUAAUUAAUCUUUAAUCUGAAGUUGUAUAUUGACUGUAGGACAAUAGCACCCCAGUUUUCAACAGCUGCAAAAUACUGAAAUGCUGCUAUUUUAAGAAUUGAAGAGAUUGCCUUUUCAUUUUGUAAAAUAUUCCUGUUUCAUUGUACCAUCUGAAGUGACCAAGCAUGAUCAUGGUUUGCCAUGUAUUCCCUCCGUUCGGAAUUACUCCUCCAAGAAAUGAAUGUAUCUAGAUGUAUUUUAGUUGUGAUACAUCCAUUUUUAUCCAUUUUUGUGACAAGUAAUUUCGAAUGCAGGGAGUAUGAUACAACAGAGUCAUUUUAUUAAGCUGGCAUUAGUAGUUUUGCAUUUUACAUGAUUCGUGUGCAAGUUCAAGUGUUUGUCGAAUAAUACUAAUAUUAAGUUUAUAAUACUGGCACAGUCUGUAAUUGUUAUCUUUUGGGGAGUACUUGAGAAGGCGUGGCGGGGAGGGUGGGGACACGCCAUGGAAGAGGCCAAUGGCAAACCUACGUGUAAGCCGUGAGGUCCGGUGACCCACAGCUUUUUUA